UACUGACUAAACAGUAUCUCUGCCUGC
rnacentral:piRNA from 1 species